UACGUAGGCAGCGAGCGUUGUUCGGAGUUACUGGGCGUAAAGAGUGCGUAGGCGGUUUUCUAAGUUUGGUGUGAAAUCUCCCGGCUUAACUGGGAGGGUGCGCCGAAAACUGGAAGGCUUGAGUAUGGGAGAGGUAAGCGGAAUUCCUGGUGUAGCGGUGAAAUGCGUAGAUAUCGGGAAGAACACCGGUGGCGAAGGCGGCUCGCUGGGCCAUUGCUGACGCUGAGGCGCGAAAGCGUGGGGAGCGAACAGG
rnacentral:rRNA from 1 species